rnacentral:rRNA from 1 species
CAGUGAACCUGCGGAAGGAUCAUUAAUGGUUGAUUCUAGUUGCUCU